rnacentral:lncRNA from 1 species
UCCUCAUGGUUGAUAUAAAAAUAUAACUCUAUAUAAGUAACAACAAAUACAUGCUCUAAAUAAGAAUUAUGUGCUUUAUCCAACAAUAGUGACAUCACACACUAUAACUACUCUAACUUUUCCAAUAAAGAAGCUAUGCAAUCAAAAAAGUUAUGUGCUAAGGAAAAGGAUGUGAUUAUUCCAAUUGUUCUAGGCAUGAUAGUUCUCAUUAUUUUACUCUUUAUGUUACUAUAUUAACCACUGUCAUGCUUUUUCUCAUGUUGCUGAAAUAAAGCAAUAAUCAUGAAGCUUAUGCAUCUAAUCUAAUGACAAAUAAAGUUUAUACAAAAGUGGUAAAAGUGUGUAGGGAAAAUCCUGCACUUUGUCUCAACAAAAUAAAG